AUCAGUGGCACAAUGGGACAGUGUGUCUGGCUGUUAACCAGAAGGUUGGUGGUUUGAACCCACCCAAGGACA